CACCCAAUCGGGAGCGGGGCAGCCGGCCUGGAGCGCAAGCGGGCCGGCCUGGGUGCACGGGGAGGAGGGGUUUGCGCCGAUCGACUGACGCAAGAGGCGCGGCGCUCGGCUUCCCCUUUUCCCCGGCUGGCGGAGGGUGAUCGCGGCGCUGAAGCCAUCAAGAUGGAGUCACCCAUCACCGACAAGCAUGCUGCCUCCAGAGCUGCAAAAUAGAGGAAAAGCACUGGAAUGGUGAAAAAGGCCAAAUACAAGAAUAAAAGCUUUGUUCCAAUGUGGCCAUCCUGACUGGCAACGUGAGAGCUAACUGAAUGAGUUUGUAACAGUUUUGGUACAUAAUCUGAGACAUUUCUUCUUGAAGUAUUUGAAAAGUAACAGGAGAUUCCGU